GGCCCGCCGUAAGGACUCUCUAACCGCCGUUUCUCUAAUGCAGGCCCGGCGGCCUCGCAGCCUCCCUUGAGUAUAGAGCACUCUAUGGCCCUGAAGAAGGCCCCGCUUCCGUGCGCCUCUAGCAAGCCACUUGUAGGCGCAGGUGAUGGAGCUCCCGAAGCUCGCUGUCUUCGAUCUGGAUUACACGCUCUGGCCAUUCUGGGUGGACACGCAUGUAGAUCCCCCAUUCCAUAAGAGCAGCGAUGGAACUGUACGAGAUAGGCGAGGCCAGACCAUCCGAUUGUACCCAGAGGUGCCCGAGGUCCUGGACCGAUUUCGGGGGCUUGGGGUGCCCGUCGCAGCUGCUUCACGGACAGGUGAAAUUGAAGGGGCCAAACAGCUACUGGAGCUCUUUGACCUUGACAGAUACUUUGUUCAGCGGGAAAUCUAUCCAGGCAGCAAGGUCACACACUUUGAGAGGCUGCGGCAGAAGACUGGAGUUCCUUUCUCCCAGAUGCUGUUCUUUGAUGAUGAGAAGCGGAAUAUUGUAGACGUCAGCAAACUGGGUACUGAGUGGUGUUACCUGCAUUCAUGUCCAGAAUGGAAUGAGUCUUCAAGUCCUAACUCAAGGAUUAGAGACAUUUGCAAAGGCCCAAGCUGGACCCUGAGGUCCAGUCCUAUGGAUGAGCCUCAUUGGAGGCAUAAAACUGAAGGAAAUCAGGAAGGCAUUUUCAGAACCUGUGGCAAACCCCUUGUGCUCCCGGCAUCCUCACUCUCUCUCCUGAGCUGUUAAGGGCAUAAAAGAACUAAAUCUUCCACUGGCCCUAGGUAACGGGGUGUAUUACCCUGCACAUUUCCUUCCAGGAAACAAAUACUUGGUUUUGAGGCGGGAUGGGGGCGGCCUUUUCAUACUUGAAAAAGAAGCAUCCCCUUCACGAGGAGCGGUGAAUUUGGAGCUGGUGGCUGGCAUCACGUGGUAGAAGUGGCCUCCUUGGCGACUGUUGAUGAUGUCACUGCAGUGCCCCAGGCUGGGAUUGGCCGAGGCCCGUGACUGAGUGAGGAGAUGCGCUCUCCCAGGAAUAAGGCGGAAGUGUGCGGGACGCCGUGGGCCCGCGGUGGGAGAGGACAGGGUUGCGAUGAGUGGUCUGGGCCGACUCUUCGGGAGGGCCCCCUGUACUUCAUUCAGUUUGAACCUGUGGUGUCAGGACCUUGGGUAUCUCCUGUGACAGCAAGUGGAACAGUGAUUAUAAAAAGCGACUGGACUUUGGUGGGGGAGUGAUAAUGAGGGGCUGUGUGUAUGUGGGUGUGUGGGAGGGAUGUGGGGAAUCUCUGUACCUUCCACUCAGUUUUGCUGUGAACCUAAAACUCCUCUAAGAAAUAAAGUCUAGCUCUGUA